CGUAGGCAGCGAGCGUUGUUCGGAGUUACUGGGCGUAAAGAGUGCGUAGGCGGUUUUCUAAGUUUGGUGUGAAAUCUCCCGGCUCAACUGGGAGGGUGGCGCCGAAGACUGGGAGGCUAGAGUAUGGGAGAGGUAAGCGGAAUUCCUGGUGUAGCGGUGAAAUGCGUAGAUAUCAGGAGGAACACCAGCGGUGUAGACGGCUUACUGGACCAUCACUGACGCUGAGGCACGAAAGCGUGGGUAGCAAACAGGAUU
rnacentral:rRNA from 1 species